rnacentral:rRNA from 1 species
UACAGAGGGGGCAAGCGUUGUUCGGAAUUACUGGGCGUAAAGGGCGCGUAGGCGGCCUUCUAAGUCGAACGUGAAAUCCCCGGGCUCAACCCGGGAACUGCGUCCGAGACUGGAAGGCUCGAAUCCGGGAGAGGGAUGUGGAAUUCCAGGUGUAGCGGUGAAAUGCGUAGAUAUCUGGAGGAACAUCGGUGGCGAAGGCGGCAUCCUGGACCGGUAUUGACGCUGAGGCGCGAAGCCAGGGGAGCAAACGGG